GACGAACGCUGGCGGCGUGCUUAACACAUGCAAGUCGAACGCUGAAGCUUGGUUCUUGCACUGGGUGGGUGAGUGGCGAACGGGUGAGUAAUACGUGAGUAACCUGCCCUUGACUCUGGGAUAUGCCGGGGAAACUGGGUCUAAUACGGGAUACGACAUGCCACUGCAUGGUGGUGUGGGGAAAGGGGUUUACUGGUUUUGGAUGGGCUCCCGGCCUAUCAGCUUGUUGGUGGGGUAAUGGCCUACCAAGGCGAGGACGGGUAGCCGGCCUGAGAGGGUGACCGGCCACACUGGGACUGAGAUACGGCCCAGACUCCUACGGGAGGCAGCAGUGGGGAAUAUUGCACAAUGGGCGGAAGCCUGAUGCAGCGACGCCGCGUGAGGGAUGACGGCCUUCGGGUUGUAAACCGCUUUCAGCAGGGAAGAAGCGAGAGUGACGGUACGUGCAGAAGAAGCGCCGGCUAACUACGUG
rnacentral:rRNA from 1 species